rnacentral:rRNA from 1 species
CGCCCAGACUCCUACGGGAGGCAGCAGUGAGGAAUAUUGGUCAAUGGGCGGAAGCCUGAACCAGCCAAGUCGCGUGAGGGAAUAAGGCCCUACGGGUCGUAAACCUCUUUUGUCAGGGAACAAAGGCGGGGACGUGUCCCCGGAUGAGUGUACCUGAAGAAAAAGCAUCGGCUAACUCCGUGCCAGCAGCCGCGGUAAUACGGAGGAUGCGAGCGUUAUCCGGAUUUAUUGGGUUUAAAGGGUGCGUAGGGGGAAGCUUAAGUCAGGGGUAAAAUGUCGGUGCUCAACACCGGCCUGCCGUUGAAACUGGUCUUCUUGAGUGAGCGAGAAGUAUGCGGAAUGCGUGGUG